ensembl:snoRNA SNORA63 Small nucleolar RNA SNORA63
AAGUCAGAUAGGAUACUUCAGUCAAAGAAUAAAGACAUUGUCAUCUCCCUGCCCAAAAUCAGUUUGUUUCUUAACCAUGCCUGUCUGCUAUGCUCUGGUUGCAUUCAGGUACACAUGGUCUCAUACAU